rnacentral:rRNA from 1 species
GAGUUUGAUCGUGGCUCAGAUUGAACGCUAGCGGCAUGCCUUACACAUGCAAGUCGAGCGGCAGCACGGGAGCUUGCUCCUGGUGGCGAGUGGCGAACGGGUGAGUAAUGCAUCGGAACGUAUCCUGGAGUGGGGGAUAACGUAGCGAAAGUUACGCUAAUACCGCAUAUUCUGUGAGCAGGAAAGCGGGGGACCUUCGGGCCUCGCGCUCUUGGAGCGGCCGAUGUCGGAUUAGCUAGUUGGUGGGGUAAAGGCUCACCAAGGCGACGAUCCGUAGCAGGUCUGAGAGGAUGAUCUGCCACACUGGAACUGAGACACGGUCCAGACUCCUACGGGAGGCAGCAGUGGGGAAUUUUGGACAAUGGGGGCAACCCUGAUCCAGCCAUGCCGCGUGUGUGAAGAAGGUCUUCGGAUUGUAAAGCUCUUUCGCGAGGGAAGAAAUUGCACCGGACAAUACCUGGUGUAGAUGACGGUACCUUGAUAAGAAGCACCGGCUAACUACGUG